rnacentral:rRNA from 1 species
AUUGAACGCUGGCGGCAGGCCUAACACAUGCAAGUCGAGCGAGCGGCGGACGGGUGAGUAAUGCCUGGGAAUUGCCCAGUCGAGGGGGAUAACAGUUGGAAACGACUGCUAAUACCGCAUACGAUUGGAUUGCCCAGGUGGGAUUAGCUAGUUGGUGAGGUAAUGGCUCACCAAGGCGACGAUCCCUAGCUGGUCUGAGGGGAUGAUCAGCCAACUGGGAAUGGGGACACGGUCCAGACUCCUACGGGAGUCAGAAGUGGGGAAUAUUGCACAAUGGGGGAAACCCUGUUGAAGACCUGCCGCGCGGUUGAGGAAGGCCUUCGGGUUGUAAGGCACUUUCAGCGAGUAAGCGUUACUCGCAGAAGAAGCACCGGCUAACUCCGUGCCAGCAGCCGCGGUAAUAC